UAGGGAAUCUUCCACAAUGGACGCAAGUCUGAUGGAGCAACGCCGCGUGAGUGAAGAAGGUUUUCGGACCGUAAAGCUCUGUUGUUGGUGAAGAAGGAUAGAGGUAGUAACUGGCCUUUAUUUGACGGUAAUCAACCAGAAAGUCACGGCUAACUACGUGCCAGCAGCCGCGGUAAUACGUAGGUGGCAAGCGUUGUCCGGAUUUAUUGGGCGUAAAGCGAGCGCAGGCGGAAGAAUAAGUCUGAUGUGAAAGCCCUCGGCUUAACCGAGGAAUUGCAUCGGAAACUGUUUUCUGAGUGCAGAAGAGGAGAGUAGAACUCCAUGUGUAGCGGUGGAAUGCGUAGAUAUAUGGAAGAAUACCAGUGGCGAAGGCGGCUCUCUGGUCUGCAACUGACGCUGAGGCUCGAAAGCAUGGGUAGCGAACAGGAUUAGAUACCCUGGUAGUCCAUGCCGUAAACGAUGAGUGCUAAGUGUUGGGAGGCUUCCGCCUCUCAGUGCUGCAGCUAACGCAUUAAGCACUCCGCCUGGGGGAGUACGACCGCAAAGGUUGAAAC
rnacentral:rRNA from 1 species